CGGUGGAAAAAAACGAAAUCGGAUACGGUGGAUGAGCGGAAGCUUCAAGUGGCCCGCGGGAAAGCUUUUGAGCUUUUGAGCACAUCUUUGUGAAGUUUCUAUCCGCCAAAGCCACUACAAAGACUGUAUCGAUGGGUAUUGUGUGCAGAUUUCCGGAAACCGAGCC
ensembl:ncRNA T06G6.13 ncRNA